rnacentral:rRNA from 1 species
UACCAAGGGUGCAAGCGUUACUCGGAAUCACUGGGCGUAAAGCGUGCGUAGGCGGUUCGUUAAGUCUGCUGUGAAAGCCCUGGGCUCAACCUGGGAACUGCAGCGGAUACUGGCGGACUAGAGUGUGAUAGAGGAUGGUGGAAUUCCCGGUGUAGCGGUGAAAUGCGCAGAUAUCAGGAGGAACACCGGUGGCGAAGGCGGUGGUCUGGGCCGGCACUGACGCUGAGGAGCGAAAGCGUGGGGAGCGAACAGG